UCAAAUAGAUGGCAGGUUACACAGGUUGAGUAAACUUAACUGAAAGUCUUUCAGUGAAAGAUAAUUACAGUAAAUCUAUUAAAGAAGUGUUAAUUAUAAUUAAUUAUUUUUAUUCGUUCACCCAACUACACACUGUGAAGAGUCAUCUGAUGAACCUUUUCUCGACUUCGAGUUUUUUAUCAGCAAGACCAUCGAUAGCCAUACAUUUGGUCUGGACGUCUGAAGGAUCUUUACCAUUUUUUGCUUUCAAAAGACCCUGAAUUCGGUUAGUUAAAGCAGUAACAGACUUCUGCAAUAUUGUUUAAUCAUUACCGGCACUUGAAAUCAACGCCUUAUUGGUCACAUUAUUGGCUAUCCCAACCACCAUUUGUCCAUCAGAUUCCACUGAAAUCAGCCUAAACAUGGCAAAGUCAGUGAACAAAAGAACCAACUACUUCUAGUGACACGACUUCAAUUGAUUAUCAAGUUACCAAAGUGAAUCUGAGAUUGUGUCCUUUUAUUACAUUUGAAAAAAGUAUAAAAUAGAAAAGUAAAAACUGUUGAAAUGAAAUGGUUAGUACCUGUUCUUUCGCUUCUUUUGUUCCCUGGCAUCGCACUUUUCAGCCUCGUUACAGCAGAUGAUGACACGAAUCCUGAAUCAGACUAUAAAGAAGGUAACUUUUUUCCGACAUUGUCUGGUGCAGCUUCAAGCGAUGACAAUUUAGGUAAUAGAAUCAAGGCUGUACCCCCUAGUGUAUACCUUAAAAUUGCCAAGUCCUUGUCACCUGUACAAAUUAGAAGGAUUCUUAAUAGACUGCGCAAGUUGUCUGAUGAAGAUUCACGAAGAAUUUUACGUGAAACAUACCGAAACGAAGAAGCAAAUUCUGGUUUGGUAUGAGACUGGACACAUUUAUUCGCAAAGGACAUUGUAACUUGCAACUGUUGUGAUCUAAAAAAUCGAAAGAAUGCUUCUGAUAAGUGAAAGUACUAAGCGUUGGCCAGAAAGCUAAAAAGAUGAGAAAAAUUAUGUUUAAAUUAUAAACACAAUAAAUCAAAUUUCAUAAAAUCAUUGUCGAUAACUUUAAUCCAGUUAAACUCUGGGUUUUUGCAAGAUUGUUGCAAAUGUUUAGUUGAUAUUAGAUCAAUAAACAAAAGCAAGUUAUUUUUGAAAUUCUUCUUCAUGCUUUAUUCAAAACCUUGAAUUGCAAAUCUGAGGGAGUGCUAACAAUCACUAUGAUGUGAUAUUUCACCAGGAUGCCCAGUAGAUACAAGAUUUACUAGCCGCAAAAUUAAUAGAUUAUGAUUUAUAAUUUAUUAUUUUUAAUUAUAAAUGUUUCAUUACAUAUGAAACAAUACGAUAAAACUUUACAGGUUACACAGGUUGAAAAAACCUAACUGUAAGAUAAUUAAUACAGUAAUAAUGUACAUGUAAAUCUAUUGAAGAAGUGUUAAUUAUAAUUUAUUAUUUUUAUUUGUUCCCCAACUACACCAUGUAAAGAGUUAUUUGUUGAUUUUUUUUUCGGCGUCGAGUUUUUUAUCAGCAAGCCCAUCGAUAGCCAUAACAUUGGCCUGGACGUCUGAAGGAUCUUUACCAUUUUUUGUGCUUUCAAAAGACCCUCAGUUUGGUUAUUUAAAGCAGUAACAGACUUCUGCAAUAUUGUUUAAUCAUUACCGGCACUUGAAAUCAACGCCUUAUUGGUCACAUUAUUGGCUAUCCCAACCUCCAUUUGUCCAUCAGGUUCCACUGAAAUCAGCCUAAAAAUGGCAAAGUCAGUGAACAAAAGAAGUGAGUAGAACCGAAAAAUUUAUAUUAACUGUUUUCAAUUUAAAAGUCGACCAUCAAUUGAUAUUAUCUCAUGACAAUGGCUUUUUAUACCAAACUUUAAAAAUCACAAUCAAACUGUAUCAUUUGAUUUAAAUAAACAUCAUUGUUCAUCCUUGAAUUUAUUUGUGAUUAAUUGUUGUCUUAAUAUGCGCUAGUAAAUUCAGAUGCACGAGUUUAUUCUGGAUAAGGGGUGUAUAAUAUGCUAAUAUAAAGUAUAAACUUUGGUGAUAGUUUGCAAAUGCUAAUCUUUUUCACUGAAGUUAUUUUCGAGUUUUAUUUGUUUCAUUUGGUUUAAAUAAACAUUAACGCUAGUUGUAUUCAAGUGUUGCAUUCGAAUUCUUGCGAGUUUUAACUCAAAUGUGUCAAGCACCUGUUUAUGCCCGAUUUAUGUUUUAUAUCCUGCGAUACCAAUCUUUGUUUGAAAAUGAAUCAUGCAAAAUGAUAGUGUUUAUUCAAGUCGCAUACAGUUUGGAUGAUGUAUCGGAAAGUCAUGAAGGUUGGUAUAAAAGCUAAUUACUUUUUAGUGAACAACAUCAAUUGUUUAUCAAGUUUUCAAAGUGACUCUGAGAUUUUGUUAUUUAUCUUUGAAAAUAAAAUAAAAAGUGAAAACAGUUGAAAUGAAAUUGUUUGAAUGUGUUUUCUCGCUUCUUUUGUUGUCUGGCAUUGCACUGUUCAGUCUCAUAACAGCUCAAAACGUGCCAAACGCUGCGGAGACUAAAAUUAAUUUACAAAGGGGAGCUUUAUGUCAAGCUUCAGACCCGCAACAAAAUAAAAAUCUAACAAUCAACCCUAAUAGCGCAAAAGUUCCAGAUGGUGGCCUUAAGGUUAAGGUGCAAAAAUUUUAUCCAGAGAGACAAAGUGUGAUUAUACACCAAACUUCGUGCAAAAAGGAAAGGAAAGAUGGUGUUCCGUGAUUAUUUCAGCCAAGUUGCGUCAAGAUAACGUCUGAAUGUGUGGAAAAUUGAAGCUAAUAAACAUCUUAAAGAGCCAAAAAUAAUUACAUUUAUAUUACUAAAUAAAUAAAUCUAAUUUCAUUUA